rnacentral:rRNA from 1 species
GACGAACGCUGGCGGCGUGCCUAACACAUGCAAGUCGAACGGAGAAUUUUGAGAAGUUUACUUUGAAAAAUUCUUAGUGGCGGACGGGUGAGUAACGCGUGGGUAACCUACCCAUAAAUCCGGGACAACCCUUGGAAACGAGGGCUAAUACCGGAUAAUCUUUGAGCUUGGCAUCAAGCUUAAAGGAAAGAUGGCCUCUGUAUAUGCUAUCGAUUAUGGAUGGACCCGCGUCUGAUUAGCUAGUUGGUGGGGUAAAGGCCUACCAAGGCGACGAUCAGUAGCCGGCCUGAGAGGGUGAACGGCCACACUGGGACUGAGACACGGCCCAGACUCCUACGGGAGGCAGCAGUGGGGAAUCUUCCGCAAUGGACGAAAGUCUGACGGAGCAACGCCGCGUGUAUGAUGAAGGUCUUCGGAUUGUAAAGUACUGUCUUUGGGGAAGAACGGUCGAUUUGAGAAUAUUGAGUCGACAUGACGGUACCCAAGGAGGAAGCCCCGGCUAACUACGUGCCAGCAGCCGCGGUAAUACGUAGGGGGCAAGCGUUGUCCGGAAUUAUUGGGCGUAAAGGGCGCGUAGGCGGAUUAUUAAGUCUGGUGUGAAAGAUCAGGGCUCAACCCUGAGAGUGCAUCGGAAACUGGUGAUCUUGAGGACAGGAGAGGAAAGUGGAAUUCCACGUGUAGCGGUGAAAUGCGUAGAUAUGUGGAGGAACACCGGUGGCGAAGGCGACUUUCUGGACUGUAACUGACGCUGAGGCGCGAAAGCGUGGGGAGCAAACAGGAUUAGAUACCCUGGUAGUCCACGCCGUAAACGAUGAGUGCUAGGUGUAGAGGGUAUCGACCCCUUCUGUGCCGCAGUUAAC